ensembl:lncRNA
AUGAUUAGUUUAGGCUGGCAGGGCGUGUGUCCCCGUGUGUUUAUGUCGUGUGCUGGCAGCCGCCACGGAGUCACGCGUCACAUGUCACUUGUGAGCAGCUCCUGCCUGGAGCUCCGAGCUCCGCCCCGCCUGAGGGCGGGAUGCCCGGCGCCUGGGCUCCAGGCCAGAUGGGCUGGCUGGCUGGUCUUUGAUCGCCUUCCGCCAAGAGUGUGCAGUGCCGAACAGAAGGAGUGCCGACCCCAGGGCUCGGUCACCCCUGCCCAGAGCCCUGGGGAGCAGCUGGAGGAGGCUGACUGCCAGGCCCUGGAUCCCUCCCCCGCGCACACCCCCCCAGCCCCCGCCGCUUGCAUACCUGAGUCCCCCACUCCUGGCUCCUCUGGCCAGUGCGCCCCCUUGUGUCCAGGUGUUUCCCUUGUCCGGGCGUGCCCCUUGUCCGGCUGUGUCCCUUGUCCCCAGGUCCACCCCUUGUCCCUGGUGUGCCCUUUGUCCCCGGGCAUGCCCCCUUGUAUCCGAGUGUUUCCCCUUGUCUGGGUGUGCCCCCUUGUGUCUGGGUGUUUCCCCUUGUAUCCGAGUGUUUCCCCUUGCAUCCGGGCGUGCCCCCUUGUGUCUGGGUGUUUCCCCUUGUGUCCGGGUGUUUCCCCUUGUCCGGGUGUGCCCCCUUGUGUCCAGGCAUGCGCCCUUGCAUCUGGGCGUGCCCCCUUGUGUCCAGGUGUGCCCCGCUUGUCCAGGUGUUUCCCCUUGUCCAGGUGUGCCCCCUUGUAUCCGAGUGUUUCCCCUUGUCCGGUGUUCCCCCUUGACCUGGUGCCUCUUUGCCUUUUCAGCUGAGGGUGCAGGCCCCCACCCCAGCCAGCAGCCACCUGAGCACGUGGGUCCUUGUGCAAACUCUUGGCUGCUGGCCACUCCGAGCCGGGGCUGGAUCUGGCCUCCCCGGUCUGCUGAGAACCCCUUCCUGCCUGCCCCUGGAACAGCUCAGAGCCUAUGGGGAAGACAGCGGGGUCUGUCUUGGUCUUCUUGUGGGCAGCUUUCCGGGAGGGUGCUCCGGCUCCCCCAGGAAGGGCACCCGUUCCAAGUGGCCAGCAUGUGGGAUGGCGUGGAGUGAGCCCCGUGGCCGCCACCCAGAUCAGGGUGUGGACCCGCCACCAGCAUGAGACUGGGAACCCUGUGGGUCCCCGGACAGGCAGGCUGGCCUCCAGCUCCGCCAGUGGACUUCCUCACCCAUGUGACUUCACGAACAUGGGCGCCUGGCGUGCCUGAUCUGUCGGUGUCAGCGGCUUCUGUGAAAAGCUGAGCAGGAGACCCCUGCCCGAGACAGCUCAGCGUGUGCUGAAGCUCGGGGCCCAAAGGGUCGCAUGGUGGGCGUCCAGGGAGGCCCGGUGGUGCAGAUGGGACACUGUCCACUGGAGAGCACGGGGGUCCCUGGCUCACACCGCCCACCCGGGCAGACAUGUCCGAGAAUGGAGCCCAAAGGCAGCCGUGCCUGGAGCUCAGGAGAAAGGGGUGUUGCUCAGGGACGAGGGGGCACGUCCCGUGCAGCUUGGAUGGAGAGACACGCUCUGGGAGGACAGGCAGGUUUGCACGGGGGCAGCUCGGGCAGCGGGCAGGGCCACCCCCCAGCCACUGCGCUGCGGGACAGCGGCCAGGAGAUGCACGGAGCACCUCUUGCCACAGGGGAUGCAGACUGACGGCCAGUGGGCAGGAAGACGGGGUGGCGGGGUCCUGUGUGAGUGAUGACCCCGGCGUGCACCCGUACUUUGCCAAGAAAGGUCUGGAAGCACACAGCCAACGGGAAACUCCUAGGUGACCCGGGGAUGCCGCCCCCCUACCCACCGGGUGUUCAGCCAUCUCUCAGUCUCCAAGCUGUGGUCCCAUGGCCUCCCUCUUCAGCCCAGGCCGCCAUCUGGGGCUUCCUUCCC